rnacentral:rRNA from 1 species
AAUGAACGUUGGCGGCGUGGAUUAGGCAUGCAAGUCGCGCGAGAAUCGUAGCAAUACGAGGACAGCGGCGAAAGGGAGAGUAACGCGUGGAUACCUGCCCCUAGGAUUGGGAUAGCUACGGGAAACUGUAGGUAAUACCAAAUAAUAUCUCCGGAUCAAAUGGUGAGAUUCCGCCUAGGGAGGGGUUCGCGUCCUAUUAGCUAGUUGGUGAGGUAAUGGCUCACCAAGGCUAUGAUGGGUACGAGGCGUGAGAGCGUGUUCUCGCUCACUGGGACUGAGACACUGCCCAGACACCUACGGGAGGCUG